rnacentral:rRNA from 1 species
UACGGGGGGGGCAAGCGUUGUUCGGAAUUACUGGGCGUAAAGGGCUCGUAGGCGGCCAACUAAGUCAGACGUGAAAUCCCUCAGCUUAACUGGGGAACUGCGUCUGAUACUGGAUGGCUUGGAUUCGGGAGAGGGAUGCAGAAUUCCAGGUGUAGCGGUGAAAUGCGUAGAUAUCUGGAGGAAUACCGGUGGCGAAGGCGGCAUCCUGGACCGAGAUUGACACUGAUGAGCGAAAGCUAGGGGAGCAAACGGG